GCCUAGUUAGCUUAGUUGGUAAUGUGUCUGCCUUGUAAGCGCUAGGCCGUGGGUUCGAUUCCCGCCCGGGGCU
rfam:Asian citrus Psyllid, Diaphorina citri - Florida Strain, whole genome shotgun sequence.